rnacentral:rRNA from 1 species
AUUGAACGCUGGCGGCAUGCCUUACACAUGCAAGUCGAACGGCAGCGGGCCUUCGGGUGCCGGCGAGUGGCGAACGGGUGAGUAAUGCAUCGGAACGUGCCAUUGAGUGGGGGAUAACGUAGCGAAAGUUGCGCUAAUACCGCAUAUUCUGUGAGCAGGAAAGCAGGGGACCGCAAGGCCUUGCGCUCUUUGAGCGGCCGAUGUCAGAUUAGCUAGUUGGUGAGGUAAAGGCUUACCAAGGCGACGAUCUGUAGCGGGUCUGAGAGGAUGAUCCGCCACACCGGAACUGAGACACGGUCCAGACUCCUACGGGAGGCAGCAGUGGGGAAUCUUAGACAAUGGGCGCAAGCCUGAUCUAGCCAUGCCGCGUGAGCGAUGAAGGCCUUAGGGUUGUAAAGCUCUUUCAGUGGGGAAGAUAAUGACUGUACCCACAGAAGAAGCCCCGGCUAACUCCGUGCCAGCAGCCGCGGUAAAG